rnacentral:rRNA from 1 species
GACGUAGGGCGCGAGCGUUGUCCGGAUUUAUUGGGCGUAAAGAGCUCGUAGGCGGCUUGUCGCGUCGACUGUGAAAACCCGUGGCUCAACCAUGUGGUCUGCAGUCGAUACGGGCAGGCUAGAAUUCGGUAGGGGAGACUGGAAUUCCUGGUGUAGCGGUGAAAUGCGCAGAUAUCAGGAGGAACACCGGUGGCGAAGGCGGGUCUCUGGGCCGUAACUGACGCUGAUGCGCGAAAGCCAGGGGAGCGAACGGG